CCCAGCUACCUGUCAGCUCGGUGGCAGCUCGGGGGCGGGGACGGCGGCUGCGGGACACGCUUCCGAAGGUCUUGCGCAGGCUCCGGGAUCGGGGAUUCCAGGACCCUGCAAGGCACCAGUGCUCCCAGACCUGCCAGUUCCAGCCUGUAGGACUGGCCUCAACAGCGAGACAGUCCAAGACUGCCAUGGAGCCCCAGCUGAUAACACCGACAAGACAAGGGCUCAAAGGACCCAUCACCUUGUCCCCUCCCUGGGGCUUUUCAGCAGCCUGGGUCCUGGGCCCCUGGCCCUGAGUGGCCUCCUCUGCCCCCAUGCUGCCUCUCCUGUGUCUGUCCAUCCAUCCGUCUCUAUACCACUGCUCUGGAUACUCUCUGCCUCCACCUCCGGCCAUCCCAGGGUCCUCCUCUGCCCCACGCAUUCUUCUUGGGUCCAAUUAAUUCUACUGAGGAGAGGUGGAAUUAUGUAAAAUGUGGUGAUUCCGUAAGGGAGGAGGGGAGGGCAGGGCGGUGGCAAAGUGGUUCUUUGUGCUUUUAAUCUGCAUUUUUUCCCUCAACGUUCCGUCUCCAGGAGGAUAAUUUUCCAGCCUUUUCAGGCCCUGAUUGGUAUCAUUUCUCCAGCAAUGACAGCUUUUAUUUUCCCUGAAAUGAAUGCCGUGAAAUUUCCAAGAAAUAUAAAAAUGGAUAUUGUCUCAGGGAGCCGACUCUCUUCCGACAGAAAGGCACAAAGCAAACAGGCUUCCCUGGGGACCCUGCUGUGCCAGCCACUAGGGGGUGGGGGACCUGAGCCCUCAGCCCCUCCUCCCUGCCAGGCCACCCUACCUGCCUGCCUCACUCCAUCUUGCCUGCUCUGUUCAGCACCGCACCCCCCACAGGACACCCAACCUCAGAGACUCCCACGACAACCCAGCCCCUGAGCAAGGUGACCUCCUGACUGAGGAGCAAGAGAAUGACAGGACACAGCAGCACCCAGCCAAGCCCGGAGCCAGGCAACGGACGCCCAGCUUGGGGGCCGGGGAGGCAGGAGCUGGGGAGCAUCUGCCCCCAGAGCCGCCUUGGAGAGAGAAGGGCUGAGGGUGU